AUACUUAUCUGGUAGGGUAAAUACCAUGAUCCUGGAGGUGGUUUUCCCAGGGUGAGGCUUGUCUAUUGCACUCCAAAUGUGCCGACCCCUGAGAUUUCUGCAAAUAUGGGAAACUUGACUGCAUAAUUUGUGGUAGUAGGGGACUGUGUUCAUGCUUUCCCCUG
ensembl:snRNA U1 U1 spliceosomal RNA